rnacentral:lncRNA from 1 species
AUGCGGCUCAUUCCCACCUCUGAUCCUUUGCAUGUAAUGUUUGCUCGGCGUGGAACUCUCCUCCUCUCCCCGUGUCUUCCCAAGUCUAGCAGGUCUGGAUCCUUGGAGAUCAGCUUGCCCUGGCCCCAUCCAUGCUCACUAAAGCCCCAAAGCAAAACCCCCAGGGCUCUCUCUCACAAUACCCAGUUUUGUCCUCUCAGCAGUGGGGCCCCGCUCCAAGAUGCUCAACAGGUGUUUAUUCUUUGGAUAGAAAAAAUUACAGGACAAGUAGGGACAAUGUGCCUGCUUGAUCCAAACUCCAAGGAAGGCUCAGUGCCAUCAUCCAGCCCCCCAAACUGGGGCCCAAGUGUAGGGUGAUGUUCAGUGAAUCCUGACUUUUCUUUGUUCUCCUUGUUUCUCCCAGCAAGGGUUGGUCCUGAAGCUGAGCUCGUGAGCCCUCCCUCCCCUGCACUUCCCACGGUGCUCUGUGCCAGCAGCCAGGACAGCUGCCCCACUCCCAGCCAGGGUGGGCACAAGGCCUAAACACCUCCCUUCAGUCAAGACCCUUCCACAGAUCCUGCCUGCUCCAUCCUCUGUGCCAUUGCAGACCAGACUCGCUCCUUCCUUUCCCUCUCCUUGCCUGUCCUCAUCUUGACCGCCUCCCUGCCAGGUGCCCGAGGCUUCUCUCUGCACACACGUGCCCUGCUUAUGUUUCCUCCAGGCACCCUGCCUGGCCACCUGUGUUCUGGCUGAUUCUUUUGCCUCAGUACCCUUCUCCAUCUCUCUGACUGGUGCCUGCCACCUCUCAGUGCAACCCCUUUCCAGAAAAUUCUUUGAACUGCCAGGGAAACACAGCCCUAAUGGGGUUGGGAGUCCCUUUUCUCUCCUGAGGUCUCUCCACCCACUAGAUGCUGCAGCAACUCUUCCUGCACUGGAAGGGGCUCACUGCCACCCUCCCCCCGACUAGACGUGAGCAUCUUGAGAUCAGAAAUGAUGUCGCUUGUCUUUGCCAUCACUGCACCUGCGUGCCUGGCACACAGCAGCUGCCCAAUAGAUGCUUUUCUGAAUGAUAGAUGUAUGCAUACAAGUAUGCCAGCGAAUGAUCUGGAAGCAGGAGCUGUGUCAGGUGUCCCCAGUGCCCCCAGUGCCCCAGAGAGUCUG